rnacentral:rRNA from 1 species
UACGAACUGCGCGAACGUUAUUCGGAAUCACUGGGCUUACAGGGUGCGUAGGUGGCAUCGAAAGUAGGGUGUGAAAUGCCUUGGCUCAACUAAGGCACAGCGCUCUAAACUACUUUGCUUGAGUGAGUCAGGGGUGCACGGAACUUCCGGUGGAGCGGCGAAAUGUGUUGAUAUCGGAAGGAACACCGGCGGCGAAAGCGGUGCACUGGGGCUUAACUGACACUGAGGCACGAAAGCCAGGGGAGCAAACGGG